rnacentral:pre_miRNA from 1 species
UCUUCUUUUCACGCACUCUCUCACCGGUCAGAGAGGCGAGAGAGUGUGUGAAUCGAAGAGA